rnacentral:rRNA from 1 species
UACGGGGGGAGCAAGCGUUGUUCGGAUUUACUGGGCGUAAAGCGUGCGUAGGCGGUUUGCCGUGUCCUGUGUGAAAGCCCCGGGCUCAACCUGGGAAUUGCAUGGGAAACUGGCAGGCUUGAGUGUGGCAGAGGAGGGUGGAAUUCCGCGUGUAGCAGUGAAAUGCGUAGAGAUGCGGAGGAACACCGAUGGCGAAGGCAGCCCUCUGGGCCAACACUGACGCUCAGGCACGAAAGCGUGGGGAGCAAACAGG